rnacentral:lncRNA from 1 species
AGCUGCAAGGUGCUCAGUGUUGUGACAAGCUGUGGGUCCUCAAAGCUGAGUACUGAAGGCUGAUUUCUGCUUCUGUUUUCAAGCCUUUCUGGACCCACUGAGGGAAGACAUUUUGUUGCUUGAAUUCAGAGGAGAAAGACAAGGGUGUUCCAGUGGCCAGCAUCCUCCUUCCUCCUGAUUUUUCAUAACAAGUGGUCAUUUCACACAGAAAUCCUGGGAGGUGAGCUGUAAAGAAUAAGCUUGGAUGGACAAGUGAGUGGCCUCUCGGCUUUGGGUGGGGGACACUGGUCCCUACUCUGGAGGAAAAAGCUGACAUAGACAGCUGCAAGGUGCUCAGUGUUGUGACAAGCUGUGGGUCCUCAAAGCUGAGUACUGAAGGCUGAUUUCUGCUUCUGUUUUCAAGCCUUUCUGGACCCACUGAGGGAAGACAUUUUGUUGCUUGAAUUCAGAGGAGAAAGACAAGGGUGUUCCAGUGGCCAGCAUCCUCCUUCCUCCUGAUUUUUCAUAACAAGUGGUCAUUUCACACAGAAAUCCUGGGAGCUGCAAGGUGCUCAGUGUUGUGACAAGCUGUGUGUCCUCAAAGCUGAGUACUGAAGGUUGAUUUCUGCUUCUGUUUUCAAGCCUUUCUGGACCCACUGAGGGAAGACAUUUUGUUGCUUGAAUUCAGAGGAGAAAGACAAGGGUGUUCCAGUGGCCAGCAUCCUCCUUCCACCUUAUUUUUCAUAACAAGUGGUCAUUUCACACAGAAAUCCUGGGAGCUGCAAGGUGCUCAGUGUUGUGACAAGCUGUGGGUCCUCAAAGCUGAGUACUGAAGGCUGAUUUCUGCUUCUGUUUUCAAGCCUUGCUGGACCCACUGAGGGAAGACAUUUUGUUGCUUGAAUUCAGAGGAGAAAGACAAGGGUGUUCCAGUGGCCAGCAUCCUCCUUCCACCUGAUUUUUCAUAACAAGUGGUCAUUUCACACAGAAAUCCUGGGAGCUGCAAGGUGCUCAGUGUUGUGACAAGCUGUGGGUCCUCAAAGCUGAGUACUGAAGGCUGAUUUCUGCUUCUGUUUUCAAGCCUUUCUGGACCCACUGAGGGAAGACAUUUUGUUGCUUGAAUUCAGAGGUCAACAUUUGUUUGUCUUUUUUCAUACUGACCUUUUUUAAAGGCAGUUUUUUAAAUGACAUUCCUGCACUGCAGUAAAUUUUCUUUUCCUUUCUCAUUAACACUCAUCCCUGUCACAUGCAGACAUUUGAUAUGUGUUAAGUGUACAGUGCACAUUGUGAGUGCUUCUUCUAACUUUUUCUGUCCAAAUUCUCCUAUCUGUGUCAUUAAACUUUAUUUUAAGUGUA